AUCACUUCUCAGCCUUUUGGCUAAGAUUAAGUGUAGUAUCUGUCCUUAUCAGUUUAAUACAUAAGCAUAAGACAGUAAGGGGUUUACAUUACUUUGAGCCAUCAGUUGCUCAUCUAUAGGGAAACCCCGUUUCAUAGACUGUGCAUUCGUCUCCAAUAACAGGGCUACCUUCU
ensembl:snRNA U2 U2 spliceosomal RNA